AUUGAACGCUGGCGGCAGGCCUAACACAUGCAAGUCGAGCGGAUGAAGGGAGCUUGCUCCUGGAUUCAGCGGCGGACGGGUGAGUAAUGCCUAGGAAUCUGCCUGGUAGUGGGGGAUAACGUCCGGAAACGGGCGCUAAUACCGCAUACGUCCUGAGGGAGAAAGUGGGGGAUCUUCGGACCUCACGCUAUCAGAUGAGCCUAGGUCGGAUUAGCUAGUUGGUGGGGUAAAGGCCUACCAAGGCGACGAUCCGUAACUGGUCCGAGAGGAUGAUCAGUCACACUGGAACUGAGACACGGUCCAGACUCCUACGGGAGGCAGCAGUGGGGAAUAUUGGACCAUGGGCGAAAGCCUGAUCCAGCCAUGCCGCGUGUGUGAAGAAGGUCUUCGGAUUGUAAAGCACUUUAAGUUGGGAGGAAGGGCAGUAAGUUAAUACCUUGCUGUUUUGACGUUACCAACAGAAUAAGCACCGGCUAACUUCGUG
rnacentral:rRNA from 1 species